GAUGAACGCUGGCGGCGUGCCUAAUACAUGCAAGUCGAGCGAACGGACGAGAAGCUUGCUUCUCUGAUGUUAGCGGCGGACGGGUGAGUAACACGUGGAUAACCUACCUAUAAGACUGGGAUAACUUCGGGAAACCGUAGCUAAUACCGGAUAAUAUUUUGAACCGCAUGGUUCAAAAGUGAAAGACGGUCUUGCUGUCACUUAUAGAUGGAUCCGCGCUGCAUUAUCUAGUUGGUAAGGUAACGGCUUACCAAGGCAACGAUGCAUAGCCGACCUGAGAGGGUGAUCGGCCACACUGGAACUGAGACACGGUCCAGACUCCUACGGGAGGCAGCAGUAGGGAAUCUUCCGCAAUGGGCGAAAGCCUGACGGAGCAACGCCGCGUGAGUGAUGAAGGUCUUCGGAUCGUAAAACUCUGUUAUUAGGGAAGAACAUAUGUGUAAGUAACUGUGCACAUCUUGACGGUACCUAAUCAGAAAGCCACGGCUAACUACGUA
rnacentral:rRNA from 1 species